rnacentral:misc_RNA from 1 species
GAUGAAGAACGUAGCGAAAUGCGAUACGUAGUGUGAAUUGCAGAAUUCAGUGAAUCAUCGAAUCUUUGAACGCACAUUGCACCUCUCGGUAUUCCGGGAGGUAUGCCUGUUCGAGCGUCAUUUGUACCCUCAAGCUCUGCUUGGUGUUGGGUGUUUGUUCCGCCUCUGUGUGUGAACUCGCCUCAAAACAAUUGGCAGCCGGCGUACUUGUUUCGGAGCGCAGCACAUGUUGCGAUCCAGAUCAACGUACAGCGGCAUCCAAGAAGCCUUAUUUAACGCUCUUGACCUCGGAUCAGGUAGGGAUACCCGCUGAACUUAAGCAUAUCAAUAAGCGGAGGA